rnacentral:rRNA from 1 species
AGAGUUUGAUCAUGGCUCAGAUUGAACGCUGGCGGCAGGCCUAACACAUGCAAGUCGAACGGUAACAGGAAGAAGCUUGCUUCUUUGCUGACGAGUGGCGGACGGGUGAGUAAUGUCUGGGAAACUGCCUGAUGGAGGGGGAUAACUACUGGAAACGGUAGCUAAUACCGCAUAACGUCGCAAGACCAAAGAGGGGGACCUUCGGGCCUCUUGCCAUCGGAUGUGCCCAGAUGGGAUUAGCUAGUAGGUGGGGUAACGGCUCACCUAGGCGACGAUCCCUAGCUGGUCUGAGAGGAUGACCAGCCACACUGGAACUGAGACACGGUCCAGACUCCUACGGGAGGCAGCAGUGGGGAAUAUUGCACAAUGGGCGCAAGCCUGAUGCAGCCAUGCCGCGUGUAUGAAGAAGGCCUUCGGGUUGUAAAGUACUUUCAGCGGGGAGGAAGGGAGUAAAGUUAAUACCUUUGCUCAUUGACGUUACCCGCAGAAGAAGCACCGGCUAACUCCGUGCCAGCAGCCGCGGUAAUACGGAGGGUGCAAGCGUUAAUCGGAAUUACUGGGCGUAAAGCGCACGCAGGCGGUUUGUUAAGUCAGAUGUGAAAUCCCCGGGCUCAACCUGGGAACUGCAUCUGAUACUGGCAAGCUUGAGUCUCGUAGAGGGGGGUAGAAUUCCAGGUGUAGCGGUGAAAUGCGUAGAGAUCUGGAGGAAUACCGGUGGCGAAGGCGGCCCCCUGGACGAAGACUGACGCUCAGGUGCGAAAGCGUGGGGAGCAAACAGGAUUAGAUACUCUGGUAGUCCACGCCGUAAACGAUGUCGACUUGGAGGUUGUGCCCUUGAGGCGUGGCUUCCGGAGCUAACGCGUUAAGUCGACCGCCUGGGGAGUACGGCCGCAAGGUUAAAACUCAAAUGAAUUGACGGGGGCCCGCACAAGCGGUGGAGCAUGUGGUUUAAUUCGAUGCAACGCGAAGAACCUUACCUGGUCUUGACAUCCACGGAAGUUUUCAGAGAUGAGAAUGUGCCUUCGGGAACCGUGAGACAGGUGUUGCAUGGCUGUCGUCAGCUCGUGUUGUGAAAUGUUGGGUUAAGUCCCGCAACGAGCGCAACCCUUAUCCUUUGUUGCCAGCGGUCCGGCCGGGAACUCAAAGGAGACUGCCAGUGAUAAACUGGAGGAAGGUGGGGAUGACGUCAAGUCAUCAUGGCCCUUACGACCAGGGCUACACACGUGCUACAAUGGCGCAUACAAAGAGAAGCGACCUCGCGAGAGCAAGCGGACCUCAUAAAGUGCGUCGUAGUCCGGAUUGGAGUCUGCAACUCGACUCCAUGAAGUCGGAAUCGCUAGUAAUCGUGGAUCAGAAUGCCACGGUGAAUACGUUCCCGGGCCUUGUACACACCGCCCGUCACACCAUGGGAGUGGGUUGCAAAAGAAGUAGGUAGCUUAACCUUCGGGAGGGCGCUUACCACUUUGUGAUUCAUGACUGGGGUGAAGUCGAAACAAGGUAACCGUAGGGGAACCUGCGGUUG